UAUUACAGUAAAAACAGUAAA
rnacentral:piRNA from 1 species